ACGCGAAAAACCUUACCUACCCUUGACAUGGUCGGAACCUUGGAGAGAUCUGAGGGUGCUUGAAAGAGAACCGAUACACAGGUGUUGCAUGGCUGUAGUCAGCUCGUGUCGUGAGAUGUUGGGUUAAGUCCCGCAACGAGCGCAACCCUUGUCCUUAGUUGUUACGCAAGAGCACUCUAGGGAGACUGCCGGUGACAAACCGGAGGAAGGUGGGGAUGACGUCAAGUCCUCAUGGCCCUUAUGGGUAGGGCUUCACACGUCAUACAAUGGUCGGAACAGAGGGUCGCCAACCCGCGAGGGGGAGCUAAUCCCAGAAAACCGAUCGUAGUCCGGAUUGCACUCUGCAACUCGAGUGCAUGAAGCUGGAAUCGUUAGUAAUCGCGGAUCAGCAUGCCGCGGUGAAUACGUUCCCGGGUCUUGUACACACCGCCCGUCACACCAUGGGAGUGGGUUUUACCAG
rnacentral:rRNA from 1 species